rnacentral:rRNA from 1 species
GUGGGGAAUUUUGGACAAUGGGCGCAAGCCUGAUCCAGCAAUGCCGCGUGCAGGAAGAAGGCCUUCGGGUUGUAAACUGCUUUUGUACGGAACGAAACGGCUCUGGUUAAUACCCGGGGCUAAUGACGGUACCGUAAGAAUAAGCACCGGCUAACUACGUGCCAGCAGCCGCGGUAAUACGUAGGGUGCAAGCGUUAAUCGGAAUUACUGGGCGUAAAGCGUGCGCAGGCGGUUUUGUAAGACAGGCGUGAAAUCCCCGGGCUCAACCUGGGAAUGGCGCUUGUGACUGCAAAGCUGGAGUGCGGCAGAGGGGGAUGGAAUUCCGCGUGUAGCAGUGAAAUGCGUAGAUAUGCGGAGGAACACCGAUGGCGAAGGCAGUCCCCUGGGCCUGUACUGACGCUCAUGCACGAAAGCGUGGGGAGCAAACAGGAUUAGAUACCCUUGUAGUCC